CGAGAAAGGGGUGGCAACACCCUGAGUAAAGCGGCGGACGGGUGAGUAACGCGUGGGUAAUCUACCCUCUAGUCUGGGAUAACCUUCCGAAAGGGGGGCUAAUACCGGAUCAUGUCCCUUUGGGGCAUCACAAGGGGAGCAAAGGGGGCGCCCGCAAGGGGCUCUCGCUGGAGGAGGAGCCUGCGUCCGAUUAGCUAGUUGGUGGGGUAAUGGCCCACCAAGGCGACGAUCGGUAGCCGGCCUGAGAGGGCGAUCGGCCACACUGGGACUGAGAUACGGCCCAGACUCCUACGGGAGGCAGCAGUGGGGAAUCUUGCGCAAUGGGCGAAAGCCUGACGCAGCGACGCCGCGUGGGGGACGAAGGCCUUCGGGUUGUAAACCCCUGUCAGGCGGAACGAAUCCCCCGAGGACGAAUACUCCUCGGGGUUGACGGUACCGCCAGAGGAAGCCCCGGCUAACUACGUGCCAGCAGCCGCGGU
rnacentral:rRNA from 2 species